rnacentral:rRNA from 1 species
GUUAAGCGUGCUUGGCGAGAGUAGUACUAGGAUGGGUGACCCCCUGGGAAGUCCUCGUGUUGCAUCCC